CUCUGACGUAUUCACAUCUCCGAUGCCCAAUUUGUUCAAGUACCGAUUGCGGCAACAUUUUGAUACUGGUGCAUGAACCGGUGGCAUACACAUUUAUAUUUCAGCAUACGAUUUUCAUAUUGACAAUCACCAGAACCAAAGUUAAUCUACAUAAACAGAUUCAUUUGAUUUGUUUAUUUGGUGACCCCCGACUUUUGGACAAAAGUCAUCAGGAACUACAAACAGGAUACCUCUGAAAGGAAGCAGCAGCCUGAAUAUUUUCAAACCCGACUUGAGAGGUUAAUGAAUCUCUGGAAAACAUUUUUAAUGGAAGACACAAACAUUCAAGAAUAACUCAUG
rnacentral:lncRNA from 1 species